rnacentral:misc_RNA from 1 species
GUAGGUGAACCUGCGGAAGGAUCAUUAUCGUGUUCUUUCACAUUUUUUGGUGUUUCGCAAGAAACAUUUUAAAUGUGAAAACAUAAUAUUCACCCCAAUGUGAACUUGUUCCCAAUUCUUACAACCUUUUGGUUAAGAGAAGAAGGUGGAGGGAGGCUUGAAUUUUUGUCUAGGCGUUGCUUUUGGUUCACCCCAAAAGCAAACUCUUCAUGUUUAAAUUUAAAUGAUUUAGAAGAGGAAGGCCGAAACU